UUGUCUUUUGAUAUUUGUGUGUGGUUAGCAUUUGUUGAUGAGUCGGUGAAUUGGCCUAUUUAAUUGUGUGUUGGGUGCACUACUACGUAAGAAUACAGAGAGUAAGCAGAGACAGAAGAGAGAAAAAAUUAGAGAGAGACAGUGAGAGCCGAGAGUUAGAGAGAGAGAAACAGAGUGAGUUGAAAGAGGGACAGAGGAGCUGAGAGUUGCAGAGGAGGCCGGAGUUUGAGGAUUGAUGAUCCAGUGGGGAAUUAAUAUAUUUCAAUGUAGGGUUCUCUAUACUUUGAAUGUUUCAAGUACCGAGGACGAACGGGGAUUGCUAGAGACAGGCUUCGGAUGAAGAGUCAGCGUGGAGGAUUUAUUUUGGAGAGUUUUUUGUCUAUUUGAGGAAAUUGAUUUUGUAUAAAAGAUGGGGCAAUUUUUAUGAUCCUGGGUAUAUUUUGAUGUAUCUGAUUUUGAAUAAAUCGAGGAUUUUAUUGGAAUUGUCGGGGCGUGACAUUAAGGAAGCAAGCGGUUACAAGUGGUUACACGCAAAGUCAUGGGACACAUGGCAGCCUAAGAAAUAAGCGGUUAUAUGCAAGUUACCAUUACUAAAUUCUAUAAAUAGGGCAUGAUAUUGUAACUUAGCAGGCUGGCUCAACGCCAAACGAAACACAGCAUUUCAAUACAAAUUCUUAUUUACAUUGCAA